rnacentral:RNase_P_RNA from 2 species
GCCGCAGGUCGCCUUAUCGCUUUGUUUUUAACGAAGAGGAAAGUCCGGACACCAUAGGGCAGCAUAGCGGGUAACGCCCGUCACCACGCUUUAGCGCGGGAGGACAAGUGCAGCAGAAAGAAUGUACAGGUAAUGCUGUAGUGAAACCAGGUAAACUCUAUGCGGUGCAAUGUCAAGUAUACCAGCAAUUAAGGGCUGCUCGCCCAAUGCUGGAGGGUAGACAGAUGGAGCAUAAUAGUAAUGUUAUGCCUAGAUAAAUGAUAAGGAUUUCUUUUACUAGAAAUACAGAAUCCGGCUUAUAGACCUGCUUUAUUU